rnacentral:rRNA from 1 species
UACGUAGGGCGCAAGCGUUAUCCGGAAUUACUGGGCGUAAAGGGCUCGUAGGCGGCCAACUAAGUCAUACGUGAAAUCCCUCGGCUUAACCGGGGAACUGCGUCUGAUACUGGAUGGCUUGAGUUCGGGAGAGGGAUGCGGAAUUCCAGGUGUAGCGGUGAAAUGCGUAGAUAUCUGGAGGAACACCGGUGGCGAAGGCGGCAUCCUGGACCGAUACUGACGCUGAGGAGCGAAAGCCAGGGGAGCAAACGGG